UGGGUGAGCAUAUGUCAUGCAUUUUGGCCAUUAAAAAGCUUGGUAUUAAUGUAAGCUUGGUUAGAGAUCUUUAAAAAAGAAAAAAAAAAAAGAAAAAGAAAAAGGGCUAAAUGGUUUGCACGUCACAAGUAGUGGCCUCCCACACAGAAUAAUGUUUGUUUUUAAGGGUCCUUGCGGUUGUAGGUAGGAUGAUACUUAAGAUUUAUCUUUUUAAAUAAAGCAGCUACUAUGAAAAUAAUAUAUCAAAAUUGAGGAUCAAGGUAAGUUGUAGUUUCCUAAUUAGUUAGUUGAGCUACCUAAGCAAUGCAGCUAUCCUCCAAGGAGCCUACUUCUUUACCUUUCGAUUUCCCAAAUGACCCUCUAGAUGUUGUCAUUUGUGGUAGAUUAUACUCCAAUGGGUGUGAAUGAUCUAAACAUCACUUCGGAUAAAGUUAUGCCAAUGAACCUUAUGUAGUAAUGCCAUUUUAUUCAGAGAUUCUCACCCAUUUAGGUUCACCAAGUAAGUUCAAACUAAAUCUGGCCAGCCUCAUCAAAUUGUUUUUGGGUAGCUUUUGCUACUAUAUAAAAUUAAUUAUCACAGUUUCAUGUGGUUACCACCCAAUUUUGGGCAGCUUUUGUCAAUUUUGAAUUUGUCACAGUGAUGGGUUGUUUCUUUGGCUGCUUCCGAAUCAGAGACGAUCAUCGCCACCCCCAGACUCAUCUUGCCUCAGAACCACCCUUCGAAGCUCAGAGUACUCCUCUGUGUGUGUGUGUGUGUGUGCGCGCGCGCAUGUGUGUUAAAUUCUCCAUUUUCUUGUUUUGAAUUGUGAGUUUUGUUGUUCGUUUUUCUGUUUCUAAACCAGGAACCUGUUGUAUCUCAGAAUCCUCCGUCUUCUCUACUACUUGCUGAUGAUAAAGAUGGAUUCCCAUGUAAAGAUGAGGAAAAUCCUGCCUUGAAGACUCCAGAGCAUGGCAACAACAAUGGGGAGCUCAAGGAUGAGGUGUGUGUUGUUAUCUGCUAUCAGUUUUCUUUAAAGUAGUUUGAGGAGGUAUGAUCGGGUAACUAGGGGACACAUCUAUUCUAUAUUAAAAGAAAACUUUUGUCAUGCCUUUUUGAUUUUCCAAAAAUACCGCAGAAAUUGUUAACUACAAAUUCCAUAUCAAAUUACUGCUCUAAACCGUUUUCGAAUUCAGCCCAUUUUCAUCAUCAUUUAUUAAACUAGCCAAACCACCAAAAACAUCAAAAAAUUAGACCUACACUUGCAAAUGUUGUGUUUGCACCAACCGGCCAUAUCCAUGCCUCUGUUCACAGGCUCUUGGUAUGCUAUUACUUGUUGGGUUUUAGCUCACCCUAUUCCUCAUAUAUGUAUAUAGGUGAUGAGGUUUGAACAGUGGGCUUGUGUAUACAUAUUGUGUGAAUACUAGUGCCUGCUCUUAGACUUGGCUUGGAACUUAUUGUUUUGUUUUGUUUUGGAGCAUUGUAUAUAUUGAGACAUGUAGUCUCUUUUGAUUUGUACUUCUUAAUUUAUAGAUGUUAUCACUUGAUAGAUUGUGAAGUGCCGAGGGAAUCCUUCACCUUAGAGGCAAAGACUCUCUUGAAAUUUAUAAAUUUGGAGAAUACUAGGCUCUCUUGGAAUGUGUGAUUGCAUCUGUUGUUGCUGUUGCUGCUGCAACAUCUGCUCUUCAAAUCCCUACAAUUGGUAUUGGGACAGGGCGUUUCUGGUUCUCCCUCUGACAUCCAGAUCCAAAAUGAAGGAUAUUAUUUGUAGUUGAGAGCUAAAGAUGCUCUGCUAAAUGCCUCUUCUUAUGGCUGCUAAAAGAUUUAGUUCAGGCCCCUCACAGGUGGAACUGCUUCUUUCUUUCUGUGUGGAGAUGAGCUUUUCUUCAGUUAUACCUGUUGGUCACAAUGAUGGAGGCUUGCUUGCCUUAAAAGCUGCACAGAGCUCAUGCUUCACCAAAUUCUGUCAAUGUUCAGUAUCUUAGCAGCAGCAGCAGCAGCAAUGGAGGUCAAAUUGGAGCCACCACCGAAGGCAAUCACCUCUCCCUGUCAAUGAGCAACAAUCAGCAAAGGCCGUUCAUCAAUCCUCCGCAACUGUUUGCAACUGCUGCAGCAUCAUCAGGAUUCCCACAGUAGAUAAUUACCCGACCCCAAAAUUGGCUACACCAGAAAAAUUGAUUUUACUCUCUGAUGAGACCCUCUUGACCCAACUUUUUGUUUUUUGUUUUGUAAAUCUUUAUGUAACAAGGCCUUUGGAGUUUGUAAGCAUGUAAAGAUUAAUGCUUUGAGCUUAUAUUUCUUCAUUUGUGUGUUUCUAAAACCGUACAUAUGCAUUAUUAUUUAGGCUGCCUUCUUAUUUAUUAUUA